GCAAGUCGUGCGCGAAAACCUUCGGGUGAGUAAAGCGGCGAAAGGGUGAGUAACACGUAACCAACCUACCCCCCUGAUCGGGAUAACUGCUGGAAACGGCAGGUAAUACCGGAUGGUCCCCGCGGGAGGCAUCUCCUGUUGGGUAAACGGUGGCUUCGGCUGCUGUAGGGGGAGGGGGUUGCGGCCUAUCAGCUUGUUGGUGGGGUAAUGGCCUACCAAGGCAGUGAUGGUUAGCCGGCCUGAGAGGGUGUAC
rnacentral:rRNA from 1 species